rnacentral:rRNA from 1 species
UACGUAGGCAGCAAGCGUUGUUCGGAAUUACUGGGCGUAAAGAGUGUGUAGGCGGUGCUCUAAGUUCGGUGUGAAAUCUCCCGGCUUAACUGGGAGGGUGCGCCGGAAACUGGAGUGCUCGAGCGUGGGAGAGGAAAGCUGAAUUCCUGGUGUAGCGGUGAAAUGCGUAGAUAUCAGGAGGAACACCUGCGGUGUAGACGGCUUUCUGGACCAUUGCUGACGCUGAGACACGAAAGCGUGGGUAGCAAACAGG